CUACGUGCCAGCAGCCGCGGUAAUACGGAGGGUGCGAGCGUUAAUCGGAAUAACUGGGCGUAAAGGGCACGCAGGCGGUGACUUAAGUGAGGUGUGAAAGCCCCGGGCUUAACCUGGGAAUUGCAUUUCAUACUGGGUCGCUAGAGUACUUUAGGGAGGGGUAGAAUUCCACGUGUAGCGGUGAAAUGCGUAGAGAUGUGGAGGAAUACCGAAGGCGAAGGCAGCCCCUUGGGAAUGUACUGACGCUCAUGUGCGAAAGCGUGGGGAGCAAACAGGAUUAGAUACCCUGGUAGUCCACGCUGUAAACGAUGUCGAUUUGGGGGUUGAGCUUUGAGCUUGGCGCCCGUAGCUAACGUGAUAAAUCGACCGCCUGGGGAGUACGGCCGCAAGGUUAAAACUCAAAUGAAUUGACGGGGGCCCGCACAAGCGGUGGAGCAUGUGGUUUAAUUCGACGCAACGCGAAGAACCUUACCAGGUCUU
rnacentral:rRNA from 1 species